rnacentral:lncRNA from 1 species
UAUUCGCUAGAAAAAAAUAUGAGCUUUGGUAUUAAAAAAAAAAUAAUAGAAAAAAAAAAUUGCGAUGCCAUACGCACUGUGUCGUCUUAAAAGACCAACGAAGGUUAAAAGCGAUAAUAUGAUUGGUCGGUUCCUGAACAGUCAUACCUGGGAUUUGAUUGGCUUAGAGAUAACAACAGGAAAAAACGCGCCAUUUGCAGUUUGCCAAAAUAAAUUUAAUAAUAAAUAAUGACAAAACAUUGUGUAUUUUGCACUAUGAAUUAGAUUUGAGAUCAUUUUGAUUGAGCAGAAACAAUCACAGUUUAUUACCGAAUACUUGGCUAUGGCGGAAAAUGAAGAACUUCGGUCAAGUUUCGGAUGUCCUACUAUUUUCGUCACGUUUGGAAGGGAAAAAAAGAAAAAUCGUCAGCGCAUUCUGGUCAUCAUAUUAUGGAAAUAUUUGUGACUGAAUCCCAUCUGAAUGUUGGAUGACAUAUAUCAAGAUGACACUGAACAGGACAUAACUGAGGAAAAUGGAUGUGAGAGAAUC